AUAACACUGAUAACUGCCUUGACUCUGGAUAACAUCUGGAACAGAUGCUAAUACCGGAUAUGAACCUNUUAGACAUCUUGAGGUUGGAAAGCUCCGGCGGUCAUGGAUGACUCGCGGCUAUCAGCUUGUUGUGAGGUAACDGCUCACCAAGGCUUCGACGGUAGCCGGCCUGAGAGURGCGACCGGCCACAUUGGGACUGAGAUACGCCCAAACUCUACGGGAGGCAGCAGUGGGGAAUAUGCACAAUGGGCGCAAGCUGAUGCAGCAACGCCGCGUGCGGGAUGACGGCUUCGGGUUGUAAACCGUUUCAGCAGGGACGAAGCUAACGUGACGGUACCUGCAGAAGAAGCACCGCUAACUACUGCCAGCAGCCGCGGUGAUACGUAGGGUGCGAGCGUUGUCCGGAUUUAUUGGGCGUAAAGAGCUUGUAGGCGGUUUGUCACGUCGGGAGUGAAAACUCAGGGCUUAACCUGAGCCUGCUUCCGAUACGGGCAGACUUGAGGAAGGUAGGGGAGAUCGGAAUUCCUGGUGGAGCGGUGGAAUGCGCAGAUAUCAGGAGGAACACAUGGCGAAGGCGGAUCUCUGGACCUUWCUGACGCUGAGAAGCGAAAGCGUGGGGAGCAAACAGGCUUAGAUACCCUGGUAGUCCACGCGUAAACGGUG
rnacentral:rRNA from 1 species